rnacentral:rRNA from 1 species
UACGGAGGGAGCUAGCGUUGUUCGGAAUUACUGGGCGUAAGGCGCACGUAGGCGGCUUUGUAAGUUAGAGGUGAAAGCCCGGGGCUCAACCCCGGAAUUGCCUUUAAGACUGCAUAGCUUGAAUCCAGGAGAGGUGAGUGGAAUUCCGAGUGUAGAGGUGAAAUUCGUAGAUAUUCGGAAGAACACCAGUGGCGAAGGCGGCUCACUGGACUGGUAUUGACGCUGAGGUGCGAAAGCGUGGGGAGCAAACAGG